UACGAAGGGGGCUAGCGUUGCUCGGAAUCACUGGGCGUAAAGGGUGCGUAGGCGGGUCUUUAAGUCAGGGGUGAAAUCCUGGAGCUCAACUCCAGAACUGCCUUUGAUACUGAAGAUCUUGAGUUCGGGAGAGGUGAGUGGAACUGCGAGUGUAGAGGUGAAAUUCGUAGAUAUUCGCAAGAACACCAGUGGCGAAGGCGGGUCUCUGGGCCGUAACUGACGCUGAGGCGCGAAAGCGUGGGGAGCAAACAGG
rnacentral:rRNA from 1 species